rnacentral:miRNA from 1 species
UUUCACACUUUAACUCUUUAACACUUCAACACUUUAACUCUUUAACACUUUAAAGUGUUAAAGUGUUAAAGAGUUAAAGAGUUAAAGUGUUAG